UUCCUGGUACCACAAGCUCCAUCCUGCCCAGUCCAGCCCCACCCUGUGGUCUCAGCUCUGCCCUCAAAUCACAUCAGGGAUCCCCGGGGCUUCCCCAUCCCAAAACCUCCCGAAAGAGUGGCUGAACCACAGGGCUCCCAGCUCCCAGCCCACAGCCACGGGGCCCUUGGCAACAGGCAAACAAACAGCCCGGCGCUGCCUUCGUCAGCAGCGUGAUUCACGGUGGGGCUGGGAGCCUGCUUGGCCACUGGGCCUCUCCUGCUGGGACAAACUGGGAUGAAACACUUCUUUUUUAAUCGUGGUUUUCCUUUGAUGUUAAUCUGCUCACCUCUGCUGCCUUUUACGUCCAAACCCCAUGAGGAGAACUGGGAGAACUCGAGCUGCUGCUGCUCCCGCUGGCCUGGGCGUGCUGCAGGAGCAGCUCCAAGGGGCAGAGCAGGCACCAAGCUCACUGCUUGGGAAAGCUGCUCAUGAGAACGAUCUCCAGAGGUGACUUGUUCCAGUGUCCCCAAGGGACACGGCAGGGACACUGUGAGCCUGAGCCUGCACCCACAGAGCUCAUAUUCCCAUUUUGUCUGUCUGUCCGUCUGCUCUGGCCGUGGGGCAGUUUGCUGGUGCUGGUGGCUCUCAGAUUGUCCUGGGUGGAGGGGCAGGACCCACACCAGAGAGGUUUGGUGGCUGCUCUCCUUCCUUUGUUGGGCAUCAGAGCAGAACCACCAGCGCUGCCACGCUGCCAGUCGCAGCUCCUCAAUAAAUACAACUGGUAAAUCUAUUAAUUUUACAGCUCUAAUUGAUGUAUUGCUGUAAUUACCUUUUAUAACAAGGCAA